AUUGAACGCUGGCGGCAGGCCUAACACAUGCAAGUCGAACGAGUGGCGGACGGGUGUGUAAUGUCUGGGAAACUGCCUGAGGGAGGGGGAUAACUACUGGAAACGGUAGAAUACACCGCAUACUAUCGGAUGUGCCCAGAUGGGAUUAGCUAGUAGGUGGGGUAACGGCUCACCUAGGCGACGAUCCCUAGCGGGUCUGAGAGGAGGACCAGCCACACUGGAACUGAGACAAGGUCCAGACUCCUACGGGAGGCAGCAGUGGGGAAUAUUGCACAAUGGGCGCAAGCCUGAUGCAGCCAUGCCGCGUGUAUGAAGAAGGCCUUCGGGUUGUAAAGUACUUUCAGCGGGGAGGCGUUACCCGCAGAAGAAGCACCGGCUAACUCCGUGCCGGCCGCCGCGGUAAUUC
rnacentral:rRNA from 1 species